rnacentral:lncRNA from 1 species
CGCGCUAAUAGCGUUUCAAUCGGCGACGUCACUCGCUCUGAGACCUGAAGUGGUUGUUCCCCUUGCGUGGCAAGGGCUGCGGCUUUUGUGGCGCGAAGGGUAACGAUGCUUCGUGGGUGUCAGUUGUUGAUGUGUGCAAGGGUCCCUGGUUCGUGCCCAGGUUGGUGCGAAGAGAGCGACGGAACCUACCAUGUUACAUUGAUGCUGUUGACCCGGAUCAUUGGUUGCUGCGGAAAAGGAGGAGCAGGUCAAAAGGGGGGGUGUAACCGAUGUGAAAUGGCUAGUUAGUUAGCGGUGGUGCGCACUAAUAGUGUUUCAAUCGGCGACGUCACUCGCUCUGAGACCGGAAGUGGUUUUUCCCCUUGCGUUGCAAGGGCCGCAGCUUUUGUGGCGCGAUGGGUAACGAUGCUUCGUGGGUGUCAGUUGUUGAUGUGUGCAAGGAGCCCAGGUUGGGGCGAAGAGAGGGACGGAACCUACACUGUUACACCUACCCUCACUACCUGGAGUCAGCCGUCGGAAGUCCAGGACCCAGUUGCAGAGGGAGGUGUUCAGUACCAGGGUCCUAAGCUUGGUGACGAGCAUGGACGGGACAAUGGUUUUGAACGCUGUGCUGUAGUCAGUGAACAGCAUUCCCACAUAGGUAUUCCUAUUAUCUUAGUGGGUGAGGGCAGUGUGGAGUGCAAUUGAGAUUGUGUCAUCUAUGGAUCUGUUGGAGCAGUAUGCAAAUUAGAGUCUAGGGUGUCUGGGAUGAGGGAGUUGACGUGUGCCAUAUCCAGCCUUUCAAAGCACUUCAUGAUUACAGAUUUGAGUGCUACAGGGAGGUUUUUGGGAACAGGAAUGAUGGUGGUCAGCUUAACAUGUGGAGAUUACAGACUGGGACAAAGAAAGUUUGAAAAUGACAAUGAAUAUCCCUGCCAGCUGUUCUGUGCAUGCUCCGAGAACGCGCCCUGGAAUACCGUCUGUCCUUGCUAGUGUCGACCUGAUUAAAGUCCUUACUGUUGUUGGCCUUGGAGAGGGAGAUGACCCAGUCCUCUGGGUCGGUGGGGGCCCUCACGCGCAUCUACCCAUUUUUAACCUAUUGUAGAUGAAACCCUCUUGGGCAAACACGUGGGGACCGUGUGGGGUACACAAAAAAAGACUGCAUUCCUAAGGACAAAUGCAUUGAAAAAGUUAGGUCGACACAAUGAAAAAUAUACUUCAUGAACCAUCCUACAGCAUGGACUGUCAAUCAUAGUAUGCACGUGUUCAGAUGAUUUUCCAGAGUUUCAUUUAUCUCCAUAUAUUUCUGUAAACUUAAGUAUGUACUUACUUUACCGGAAGUUCUAUAAGGAUACUUGGGAGAUCUGGAAAACAAAGCACACAUGAACCAUAUUUUAUAGUUCGCUUUGUAGAUUCGAGCAGAUGUCUUAAGUGUAGGGUUGGAACCGAUUCAGGGAACAGAACCAAAAACAUGAAAAUAAAGAAAUUAUUUGAGGAACAGAACCCAAACCGAAAAACAAAAGUGAUCUAUACUGUUCCAGAACAGGACCUUUAUUGUAAAAGCAUGGGAACCAGUUAAUAACGUAAACUUACAUUCAGGGCAUUUUUUUUCUGUCCCACAAAAAUCGCAAAAAAAAGCACCUAUGCAAAAGCCCUCACUGUCAAAAACAACUUUAUAUCAAAGUACUGCCUUUGAUUUGACAGCCUACACAUGCGCAGUUUACCGUUAGACCUGAUGAUGUGUUUUUACGCAUGAGCUUAGAUCGGGGAUUUCAAUUUUUGCUUAUCUUCAUACUGUUCUGUCUUUGGCUGUAUUCUUUCUGGUCGAAACCCUUCGCCUGGGACCCGUAUCCCAUAACUUAUUGCGACACAAACAUUUUAAUUAACGAUGGACAGAAGUUCACACUUGGAAUAACCUUGUGAAAUGUAAUUAUUACGUCUAUUUAUUCACCAAAUUAUGUUAAAGUUCAACAAAUUACUUUCUAAUUUUGAAUGAACAUGUUGAAUCACUGGUGACAUUUAUCAGCCCACUAGCCAAGCUAAAUUAGCUUACUUGCUAGCUAACGUCUGACUUGAUAGCUAGCUAGCAGGCGAUCUUUAAGGUUAGAAUUGUGUCAAUUGUGAAGACACUAACAGUUUUAUAAUCCUGAGCUCGUGAAUUUGCUAACCAGCUAAAGGCAAAUCUAGCAAAUCGGUUUUUUCCAAGGACAGCUGGCAACUGAUGUGUUCAUUUCACUCCAUGGCAUCGGCUUGGCAGUACAUAACAGUCGUGUCCGACUGGUUUGGAGCUUGUUGCACCAUUGCAUAUGAAGACAAUUUUUUCAAUUAUCAAUUAAAAAUAAAUCGGUGACAACUUGAUCAAGCCUAUGAAUAUGCAAAACUGUUUACAGAACCAUUGCACAUGAAUAAAGGUAGUUGUGGUUCUCACAACUUGAACCAGCACUCGAAUCUGAGCAGUGAGUUUAGUCGGGAGUUCUUUCAGCAGUGUGCAACAUCCCUAUGUUAGAUAGAAGUAGAUCCACACUUUAUUCUCUAUCAUGCAGAAUUGUCAGCUCAUUCUAAAAUAAAGAUGUGGGCGAUUUGUGUCCCAGGGUACUGGAGUGUGUGCAAGUUUUUAUUCCUGCCCAGCACAAACACCUUGUUCAACUAUCCAUGGUCUACAAUUGAGACAACAAUGUUGGAGGUUCAUCUCCUUCAUAUGUCCCCCACUUGGGGAUGACUUAUUUUGUACAAUGGACUGUGUUCUAAGGAUUCAUGCACAGAUACAGGAAAACCAAUAAGUGUUAAUAUUUAUAAAAAAUGACAAGUGUUGACGUCUCGCCAUUCCCCAAAGUUCUGGUUUUGAAGCUUGGGCAUCUGGGGGCUGUAGUUCAUCUGUCUAAUUCCCUUCAAGGAGAGAAAGGCAUGAAUAAUAUUACAAUAGUGUAUUCAUUUAAUGUAAUAUAUUAUUGUUUUACAUGCAUGCAAAUAAUUCAAUUGGACAAGUUAUCCUUUACAAUAUGCCAGUGAUUGUUUU